GGAUUGAUUACUCAAGACUCUUCUGGCUUCUCUUUGGUGUCUUCUCUUAUGAAAAUCAUGAAGGAAAGCCUCGGAUUUAGAGCUCUCCAUCUCUUUUAACCCAUAUAUAAUACACACAAAUAUUUUCUCUUUUUGUUUUCCAAUUUAUACCCAUCAGCCAGCAUAUAUAAAAAGUAGAGUUCGAAAAUUCGCAAGAUUUUUUUCCAAAAUAAAGCUUUUCGGCCAACUCCUAGGAGAAGCUGCAGGCUUUCCCAUAUAUACCCCUCAAAAACAUGUACAAAAAGAAAGUUGGGUUGCAUGAAACCGACGCCGACCAUGGCUAUGUUGAAACC
rnacentral:misc_RNA from 1 species